CCUACGGGGGGCUGCAGUAGGGAAUAUUGCGCAAUGGGCGAAAGCCUGACGCAGCAAUACCGCGUGAGUGAGGAAGGUCUUCGGAUUGUAAAGCUCUGUCAGAAUGGAAAAACGGCGGACGGUCUAAUAGGCCGUACGAGUGAUGGUACAUUCAAAGGAAGCACCGGCCAACUUCGUGCCAGCAGCCGCGGUAAUACGAAGGGUGCAAGCGUUGUUCGGAUUGAUUGGGCGUAAAGAGAAGGCAGGCGGGAAAGCUCGGGGCUCAACCCCGAAAUUGCGCCUGAAACUGUUUAUCUAGAAUCUUGGAGAGGGAGGGAGAAUAUCGCAUGUAGGGGUAAAAUCCGUAGAGAUGCGAUGGAAUAUCGGAGGCGAAGGCGCCCUCCUGGACAAGUAUUGACGCUGAGGUGCGAAAGCGUGGGGAGCAAACAGGAUUAGAUACCCUUGUAGUC
rnacentral:rRNA from 1 species